UACGUAGGGUCCAAGCGUUAAUCGGAAUUACUGGGCGUAAAGCGUGCGCAGGCGGUUUUGUAAGACAGGUGUGAAAUCCCCAGGCUUAACCUGGGAACUGCAUUUGUGACUGCAAGGCUAGAGUGCGGCAGAGGGGGGUAGAAUUCCACGUGUAGCAGUGAAAUGCGUAGAUAUGUGGAGGAAUACCGAUGGCGAAGGCAGCCCCCUGGGCCUGUACUGACGCUCAUGCACGAAAGCGUGGGGAGCAAACAGG
rnacentral:rRNA from 1 species